AACGAACGCUGGCGGCAGGCCUAACACAUGCAAGUCGAACGCCCCGCAAGGGGAGUGGCAGACGGGUGAGUAACGCGUGGGAACGUACCCUUCGGUUCGGAAUAACCCGGGGAAACUCGGGCUAAUACCGGAUACGUCCGCAAGGAGAAAGAUUUAUCGCCGAAGGAUCGGCCCGCGUCGGAUUAGCUAGUUGGUGAGGUAACGGCCCACCAAGGCGACGAUCCGUAGCUGGUCUGAGAGGAUGAUCAGCCACACUGGGACUGAGACACGGCCCCAGACUCCUACGGGAGGCAGCAGUGGGGAAUAUUGGACAAUGGGCGAAAGCCUGAUCCAGCCAUGCCGCGUGAGUGAAGAAGGGCCUUAGGGUUGUAAAGCUCUUUUCAGCGGGGAAGAUAAUGACGGUACCCGCAGAAGAAGUCCCGGCUAACUUCGU
rnacentral:rRNA from 1 species